rnacentral:rRNA from 1 species
GAUGAACGCUGGCGGCGUGCCUAAUACAUGCAAGUCGAGCGAACAGACGAGGAGCUUGCUGCUCUGACGUUAGCGGCGGACGGGUGAGGAACACGAGGAUAACAUCCUUAUAAGACUGGGAUAACUUCGGGAAACCGGAGCUAAUACCGGAGAAUAUAUUGAACCGCAUGGUUCAAUAGUGAAAGACGGUUUUGCUGUCACUUAGAGAUGGAUCCGCGCCGCAUUAGCUAGUUGGUAGGGUGAGGGCUUACCAAGGCAACGAUGGGUAGCCGACCUGAGAGGGUGGUCGGCCACACUGGAACGGAGACACGGUCCAGACACCUACGGGAGGCAGCCGUCGGGAAUCUUCCGCGAUGGGCGAAAGCCUGACGGAGCAACGGCGCGUGAGUGAUGAAGGUCUUCGGAUCGUAAAUCUCUGUUAUUAGGGAAGAACGAAUGUGUAAGUAACUAUGCACGUCUUGACGGUACCUAAUAAGAAAGCCACGGCUAACUACGUG